rnacentral:tRNA from 1 species
UGUUCUGUGGCUUAGUUGGUUGUUUAAGCGCCGGUCUAGCGAAUACGGAGUCGUGGGUUCUAAUCCCACCAGAACGC